CUAGGCUACACCUAAACGUUAGAAAUCUGACAUGCUGUAUCGGAUGAAAACGAGACACUAUUUCCAUGUGAUCAACUAUUAAAAAUUGUCCCACUGCUCUGGGACCUAUGGUGCCACCAGUCUGCUUGCAGUUGUUAUGUUGAUGAUCAUUGAUUUAUUCAGGAACGUUUCUUAGUCCACUUUGAUGUGUCAAGUGGGCGAGAUGCGCGGUCUGUGUUUGACUUUAGGAAUUUUGAGAUGUCUGAUGUCUGAUGACGCUUCUGUAAUGGAAUGUAUCUGCUAUUUGUAUUUCCAGCUAAGUCCCCUCCUGUUCCUUGAUUAAGAGGUGAUGACCACUCCACUACCAUUGUCAACUUUCUCCUGACAUAAACUGAAGCCUCGUCUCAUGUGCCCGCUCACAUUUCCCCUCCAAGUACUUGGAGCCCUUGUGUGCAGCGGUUGGCUUACCAUUAGGCAGAAGAGGCAGUUGCGUCAGGCCUCACAUAUUGUAUCAUCAAGGGUGAGCUGGGCAUAAUUGAAAAAAUAAAUUACUUAGGUAAGCAGAUAUUUUAGUUAUCUAAUUUCUUCAGUAAAAAGACAGGUGCUGUUGAUAAUACUGCCAUAGUCGUCGAGGCAGAGGCCAUGUGUCUGAUGCUGUCUGGCCAAAACGAGCACGGCAUGUCAAACCUCAGACUGGACUCUGCCUGGAGCCUCCAAAUCACCUAGUCCCCCCUGCUUGCAUGCAACUCUUUGAGGGAAGGUUCACAGUUCCAUACAUUACAUAUCAUGAACUAUUGCCCUCUCGCACACAGUUAAAAGCACUACCUCCUACACUUCUGAUCCACUAACUGGCCUCUAUAACCUUAUACGACCUAGAGGGACCAAGA